rnacentral:rRNA from 1 species
GACGAACGCUGGCGGCGUGCCUAAUACAUGCAAGUAGAACGCUGAAGGAGGAGCUUGCUUCUCCGGAUGAGUUGCGAACGGGUGAGUAACGCGUAGGUAACCUGCCUGGGAGCGGGGGAUAACUAUUGGAAACGAUAGCUAAUACCGCAUAACAGGAGAUAUUGCAUGAUAUCUGCUUGAAAGGUGCAAUUGCCACACUAACAGAUGGGCCUGCGUUGUAUUAGCUAGUUGGGGAGGUAACGGCCCACCAAGGCGACGAUACAUAGCCGACCUGAGAGGGUGAUCGGCCACACUGGGACUGAGACACGGCCCAGACUCCUACGGGAGGCAGCAGUAGGGAAUCUUCGGCAAUGGACGGAAGUCUGACCGAGCAACGCCGCGUGAGUGAAGAAGGUUUUCGGAUCGUAAAGCUCUGUUGUAAGAGAAGAACGAGUGUGAGAGUGGAAAGUUCACACUGUGACGGUAGCUUACCAGAAAGGGACGGCUAACUACGUG